rnacentral:lncRNA from 1 species
CGGUAAUCCAGAGACUGGGUAGAUGUGAGCUGCUGGGAGCCCACGUCCCAGCAGCUGGGGGCUAGUGUGCCCAUAGCCCUCUCAAAACGAGGUCCUGGGAGCCCCUGGCAUCAGCCUCCUUGAGGAACUUGCUAGAAUGCCCUGGCCCCCACCUGCUGACUCAGAUUCUGCAACAGGAUCCCCAGCCCUUGAGCACCUGAAAGUUCAAGAAGCAACCUAUGAAAUGGCCUCAGGGGACUGCUGUGAGGCUUGAGUGAGAUUAAGGCGCAGAAGGCAGCACGUGAAAGAGCGUCCGGUCCACAGUAGUUGCUGUUAUUCUGAUUUGCAUCCAGGUGUGUUGCGUGUGCUUGCUUACCCAGAUUCUUAAAUGUGCAAUUACACGAGUGCCGGGAGGAGAGGCUGUGUCAUUGGCAGAAUUCAGUGCACAACGAGAUGUGGGCCCUUUGUUCACAACUCAGACAGCAGACAGAGUCUUGGAUCAGGCUCCCAGGCCCUUGUGAACUCAGGACGGCUGGUGACCGCCUCGCGGGCAGGAGGAGGAAGAGGGCAGGAUGCGGCGCGGAUGCGCCUGUUUGAGGCCCUGCUGCUUCCCGAGUUUCCUUCCUCCCGUGAUUUGGCCCAUCCUUCAGGUUUUACAGCUGUCAAAGAGAGGAAGUUAAUUUGCAUGAACAGCCCAAGUGCAUGCUGGAAGCUAACUGGGGCUUAAGCAGGGAUAGUCUGCGGAUCUUGGAGCAAGUGGAACAUCGGCGUUUCAGAACGGGACCUCUUCACUCCUCGUGACAGUUUUAGAGAAAGAUGAGGACCAGAUGGGACACAGUUACUCUCAAUGAACCAAACACCUGGAUUAUGUCCUCAUUAACCAUUUUAUACUGACUCUAGAAUACAGGGCAACAGAUGGAGUGGUCUGGUUGUUCUCAAAAGUCCUUGAAAAGAAGAGCACCCGGUUAGGCUUUCUGGCAUCAUUGUUGGGUUCAAAAUAAAUUUUGAAUGAGUAAAUAAUCUGGGAG